UGGUCCUAGCCUUGGAGUCAGCAUCUACUUGAUUUACACAUGCAAGUCUCCGCACCCCUGUGAAAACGCCCUUAAAUUCCCCCAUCGGGAUGAGGAGCCGGUAUCAGGCCCCUUUAGCCCAAGACACCUAGCUAUGCCACACCCACAAGGGUAUUCAGCAGUGAUUAACAUUGAUAAUAAGCGCAAGCUUGAAUCAGUUAAAGUAAGAUUAGAGCCGGCAAAUCUGGUGCCAGCCGCCGCGGUUACACCACGUGACUCAAACUGACCCCCAACGGCGUAAAGCGUGAUUAAAGCUAAUUAAAACUGUAGUCAAACCGGGAUUAAGCCGUGACAUGCUUGUCUCAUAGAAGCCCACAAACGAAAGUUACUACAACUUAAACAACUUGAAUUCACGACAGCUGGGAAACAAACUGGGAUUAGAUACCCCACUAUGCCUAGCCGUAAACCUUAACUUACACCUAAAUCGCCAGGGAACUACGAGCAAAGCUUAAAACCCAAAGGACUUGACGGUCCCCCAUAUCCACCUAGAGGAGCCUGUCCUAUAAUCGAUAAUCCCCGUUCAACCUCACCACUUCUAGCCCAUCAGCCUGUAUACCUCCGUCGUCAGCUUACCCCGUGAGUGACCACAGUGAGCUUAAUGUCCCCCCCCCGUCAAAACGUCAGGUCAAGGUGCAGCUUAUAAAGUGGGAAGAGAUGGGCUACACUCUCUAACCUAGAAAAUACGAAAGACUACUUAUGAAAUCUAGUCGGAAGGCGGAUUUAGAAGUAAGAAGAGACAAGAAAACUCUUUUUAACCUGGCACUGGGGUGUGUACACACCGCCCGUCACCCUCUUCGAAAUCAACAAAACAGUACCUAACUCGCCUAAACAAAAUAGAAGAGGCAAGUCGUAACAUGGUAAGUAUACCGGAAGGUGUACUUGGAAA
rnacentral:ncRNA from 1 species